rnacentral:rRNA from 1 species
CCCUUCGGGGGUACUCGAGCGGCGAACGGGUGAGUAACACGUGAGCAACCUGCCCCUGACUCUGGGAUAAGCCCGGGAAACCAGGUCUAAUACCGGAUACGACCAUCUCUCUCAUGUGAUGAUGGUGGAAAGAUUUAUCGGUUGGGGAUGGGCUCGCGGCCUAUCAGCUUGUUGGUGGGGUAACGGCCUACCAAGGCGACGACGGGUAACCGGCCUGAGAGGGCGACCGGUCACACUGGGACUGAGACACGGCCCAGACUCCUACGGGAGGCAGCAGUGGGGAAUAUUGCGCAAUGGGCGGAAGCCUGACGCAGCGACGCCGCGUGAGGGAUGACGGCCUUCGGGUUGUAAACCUCUUUCAGCAGGGACGAAGCGAAAGUGACGGUACCUGCAGAAGAAGCGCCGGCUAACUACGUGCCAGCAGCCGCGGUAAUACGUAGGGCGCAAGCGUUGUCCGGAAUUAUUGGGCGUAAAGAGCUCGUAGGCGGUUUGUCGCGUCUGUCGUGAAAGCCCACGGCUUAACCGUGGGUCUGCGGUGG